AACGGCCAUAGCACGCUGGAUAAAGCGGCGGUGCGACGUUAUUGGUACGUCGAUGAGUGACCGCAACGGCCAUAGCACGCUGGAUAUACCGGUUCUCGUCCGAUCACCGCAGUCAGGCAGUGUUGGGCGCGGUUAGUACGUCGAUGCGCGACCGCU
rnacentral:misc_RNA from 1 species